AUUGCAUCAGUACUGCAAUAAAUUCUGCAGUCAAACUUUGUUCAUUAUGCAAUUCAACAUUUUAGUGGAUGUGUGAGCAACAAAAGUUCAACACUCACCUUUUGUCACUAUUUCUGGAAAGUCUACGCAUACAAUUUGACGCAAACGUUGGAUAACUCCAAUGUAUAUACACCACAGAGAAACCACUACAACUGUAUGGCGUCAAAUCCGAUUAAAAAAAGUCGAACGGGCGCCAUCGCGCGAGAAAGCAAGAUGAAACAUCAUUGCGCAGUCAAACACUUUUACCGAGAGAAAAUGUGGUCGAGCGAGCAUAGGACGUUUUCCGAGAGCGCAGGCCAACGUGGUGUGCGCAAAUUAAACUUGAGGACUUGCAAGUGUGACUUUGAGCGAGCGCAACUGCAUUAAAUGAAUUUGACAGCAGAGACUUUUGUUUGCCUGAAGAAAUACUUACUACAUGUCAAGACUCAGAAAUGACUGCACUGUCACAAAUAUGCCGCUUCCACACACGGAUGUAUUUUCAUCCCACUCACACCAAUUUUCCAGUCUGUUCUCCAAAACCCAUUUUGCUCUCGCAACCGCUUACUAUAAUUUUAGAACAGGGGGACAUUUUGACCAUACAGAUGAAAGAGGACGGUGAAAGAUGAACGAUGACUGACAAUAAUAAAGAGGUCUACUGUCACAAGUAUGUGGUGGUGAAGUUGUUCUCUGCCCAGCUGACAGAGACAGGAGAUACAGAGACAGGAGUCCAUUCUAUUACAAGUAGGUCACCUUGGCUCUCCUCUAUGCACAGCACUCCAGGGACUUCCUGCAGAUUGUCCAGUCUGCUGAGAGGGUCAUUGGCUGCCACCUGCCCUCCAUUAAGGUUCCUGCACGACUCCAGGGUAAGGAAGCGUGCAGGAAAGAUCAUCGCCAACCCCUUCCACCCUUUCUUCCAAAGACUCCCAUCUGGCAAACGGUUCAAGUCAAUCACGAUCGAAACUUCCCGCCACCUGAACCGUUUCUUCCCCCGUGCUAUGGCCCUCACCAACCGGCCACCUGGUCCACAAUGAUCCUCUCAUCCAUGGACUCUGCGUUAUUCAUCCAGACUAUGCACCGUGCGCUAUCAUCUUACAUUCAUCAUUUAUAAUGUAGCUUAUAGUGUUCAUACUGAAUGUGGAUCUAUGGAAAUUCUGCAUAUAUAUUUUUGGGCUGUUUAUUAUGGCAGCACCAUUUCACAGAGUCAAAUUCCUGUACAUGCACAUUUCUGGC
rnacentral:lncRNA from 1 species